AAAAAUAUAGAAUACUUGUGUAGCGUGAUUGGUUUUAAUUACAAGGUUAAUGAUUGUUAGUAGGUUGGUUUCGGUUUACACUAGUUUGUUAGCCUGUAAUUGCCGUACAAGCCACGCCGUCUUUCCUACGAGCGAAUUUUACUCAGAUUAUUUAUGAUCUACUGAAUACACCUAUAGCUGGGGAAAGAGGGGUGGCGUGAAAGAUCGCGAUCAAGGCCAUAAUUGAGAUGAGGGGAGUAGAGGAGAGGGGUCAUGGCCGGAGUGCCUUGGGCUCUCAGGUAUCAAUGUACAGGACUUGGUCCAGAUAUACCACCAAGUCCACGCUGAAUAGAAAGCGAAAAGACACGUACAGUGGUCUGUUUUCUAAUCUAAACAUGUAAAGUCGUUUGUUGACGGUAUUGCAUCUCAAUAUUCGAUCUUGUUAUGCUAAUGCAUGGUGUUGGAUCGCGGGGUCACGCAAAGAGCGUAAAAAAAAUCAAACGAAGGCCGUCGGAAUAGAAGAACCGUCGGGACUGAAUCGCCGUCCCAAACGUGGACAAUGGCCUGUAAAGAUUAAGAUAAAGAAAAAAUAGUAGCAGAAGGAGACAAACGAUAAGUUUGCGAGUGUAAAGACGUUCAACAAAUGAUUGGGAUAAAGAAAACAGAAAGCAGAGGAGACAAACGAUGAGUUUCGAGUGUAAUAUUGCGACCGGCAAUUUACUGAGAAGACAAAUUUGGCAAGGUAGAUUCUUUAUCGUACAUAAAAGCUGUAAUGUAAACGUAAACCAAGGCAAACCAGACCAAAUGUUCGUGUAUCGAAUAUUAUCUUUAAUUUGUGUAUCGUGUACCGAAUAUAUCUGUAAUAAAGCCAAUUUCUUGAA